rnacentral:rRNA from 1 species
UACGAAGGGGGCUAGCGUUGUUCGGAAUCACUGGGCGUAAAGGGCGCGUAGGCGGCCUGAUAAGUCGGGGGUGAAAGCCUGUGGCUCAACCACAGAAUUGCCUUCGAUACUGUUAGGCUUGAGACCGGAAGAGGUAAGUGGAACUGCGAGUGAGAGGUGAAAUUCGUAGAUAUUCGCAAGAACACCAGUGGCGAAGGCGGCUUACUGGUC